AGGAAGUUACAAAGGCUAAGGCUACAAGAGAAAAGGGAACACGAGCUAGAAAAACAAAGGCAUGAGGUGUUCAACAAAUACAGACCUGCAACGCCUCAGAUGAAAGAGUGGAGAGCAAAGGCUGACGCCCCAGCUCCACCGGUCAGACCGGUUGAGGAACUGGUCAAACCGGUCGAGGCGUCUGAGCCAGCGCCUGAACCGGUCACACCGGUUGGGGAACCGAUCAGAUCGGUCGAGUCAGAGGCGCCGCCCGGCUUCACUCUUCCCGUCCCUAUGGUUUGCGACAAUGAGUUGGCAUCAGUCCAUGAGAUAGAGGAUGACGAACAAAUUGUUG
rnacentral:lncRNA from 1 species